AUACUUACCUGGCUCAGGAUACUUACCGUGAUCACGAAGGCGGUAGUCCCAGGGCGAGGCCCGUCCAUUGCACUUCGGGUGGGCUGACCUCUGCGAGUAUCCCAAAUGUGGAUACCUCGGGAGUGUAAUUUUUGAUAGACGGGACUGCGUUCGCGCUGUCCCGG
rnacentral:snRNA from 2 species